UAGGGAAUAUUGCACAAUGGGGGAAACCCUGAUGCAGCAACGCCGCGUGAGUGAAGAAGGCCCUUGGGUUGUAAAGCUCUUUAGCGUGGGAAGAAGGUAGAUAUGGUGAAUAAUCAUGUUUGCUGACGGUACCACGAGAAUAAGCACCGGCUAAUUUCGUGCCAGCAGCCGCGGUAAUACGAAAGGUGCAAGCGUUACUCGGAAUCACUGGGCGUAAAGCGCACGUAGGCGGACUCGUAGGUCAAUUGUGAAAUACCUGGGCUCAACCCGGGAACUGCAGUUGAAACCGCUUGUCUUGAAUACCUGAGAGGGUGGGGGAAUACCUGGUGGAGAAGUGAAAUUCGUAGAGAUCAGGUGGAACACCGGAGGCGAAGGCGCCUGCCUGGCAGUGUAUUGACGCUGAGGUGCGAAAGUGCGGGGAGCAAACAGGAUUAGAUACCCUGGUAGUCCGCACCGUAAACGAUGGAUACUAGGCGUUCGGAGAGUUAACCCUCUGAGUG
rnacentral:rRNA from 1 species